rnacentral:rRNA from 1 species
GACGAACGCUGGCGGCGUGCUUAACACAUGCAAGUCGAACGGUGAAGCCCUUCGGGGUGGAUCAGUGGCGAACGGGUGAGUAACACGUGAGCAACCUGCCCCUGGCUCUGGGACAACCACUGGAAACGGUGGCUAAUACCGGAUACGACCCGCCUCGGCAUCGAGUGUGGGUGGAAAGUUUUUCGGCUGGGGAGGGGCUCGCGGCCUAUCAGCUUGUUGGUGAGGUGAAGGCUCACCAAGGCGACGACGGGUAGCCGGCCUGAGAGGGCGACCGGCCACACUGGGACUGAGACACGGCCCAGACUCCUACGGGAGGCAGCAGUGGGGAAUAUUGCACAAUGGGCGAAAGCCUGAUGCAGCGACGCCGCGUGAGGGAUGACGGCCUUCGGGUUGUAAACCUCUUUCAGCUCCGAAGAAGCGAAAGUGACGGUAGGAGCAGAAGAAGCACCGGCUAACUACGUG